rnacentral:rRNA from 1 species
UGGGGAAUAUUGCACAAUGGGCGCAAGCCUGAUGCAGCAACGCCGCGUGAACGAAGAAGGUCUUCGGAUUGUAAAGUUCUGUCCUUAGGGAAGAAGAAAGUGACGGUACCUAAGGAGGAAGCCCGGCUAACUACGUGCCAGCCAGCCGCGGUGAAUAACGUAGGGGCAAGCGGGUUAAUCCGGAAUGAUUGGGCGUAAAGAGUACGUAGGUGGUUUUGUAAGCGCGGGGUGAAAGGCAGUGGCUUAACCAUUGUAAGCCUUGCGAACUGCGAGACUUGAGUGCAGGAGAGGAAAGCGGAAUUCCUAGUGUAGCGGUGAAAUGCUUAGAUAUUAGGAGGAACACCAGUGGCGAAGGCGGCUUUUUCUGGACUGUAACUGACACUGAGGUACGAAAGCGUGGGGAGCAAACA